GGGGAUGAUAUGGAUUCGACAGGGUGACUGACGCUAUCUGUUGCAUAUCGUGUUAGUCGUCAAACACGUAAAUACAAGCGACAACUUAUAAUAAACGCAGAAGAUAAUUUUGCAUUGGCUGCCUAAUUAAGCGGUAGCCCAUCUAUCUAACGGUUUGCCUAUUGGCUGUUAAAUAGGUGUCGACUUAAAUAGGAUAGUUCGGCAUUGUUCGGCGGGAUGACGAAUGAAACUUUUACCGACGAUGGCUUUUAAGUGCCUGUUGCUUGGCUUACUUAAAAGUAAGAUUUUAUAAAGUAACUAAAUAUGUAGAAGCAAUAGAAGAAGCUCUUUGGACGCGGGUUCAACUCCCGCCAUCUCCACGA
rnacentral:tmRNA from 1 species